UGUGCGGUAAUAUUUAUAGAAAAUUACAAAAGAUAAUAAAAUACGACAACUACUAUUACAACACCACCAACAACAAAGGGCAGCCCAUGCGGCUGACACCAAAACAACUGUGCAAUUAAAUAUAAUAAUACAUAAAAAU